CUUUCAUCCGUGGGUGGGGAUUUGUUGCAUUACUUGUGGUGUGUAUAAAGUAUUGCACUUGUCCCGGCCUGUGGAAGAAA
ensembl:miRNA MIR92A-2 microRNA mir-92a-2